CCCUAUGGGGUGAAUGGGGAUCGGGCUGUUCUGAGCGGAUGCCCUGGCUGUGGUGUAUUCGGCGAUCUUGUGAGUGUUUAUAAGGAUCUUGCGGUUUUCGAAAAUGGCCUUUGUUAUCUUGUAUACCAGGUCUUCGGGUGUGUCCUUAUGGCAGACAACAGAGCUCCAGACCGAAACGGUGAGGAUAUCCUCCGUCUGGCCCUUGUAUGUGUUCUUCGCCAGGGUGUAGCUCCCGUAGAACGGGUAGGCCUUUGAGACCUUGUCGACCUCUUCUUUUGUGAAGGGUAUGAACCUCAGGUCGUGAGUUGUCGAAAUGUCGAUUAUUGAUGAUGUGGGAGGUGCGACAUCCCAGAUCCCGACAUCAAUGAUGCCGUCUUUCAGCUGUGUUGAAUUUUCGGCAAAGGAGAGC
rnacentral:rRNA from 1 species